rnacentral:rRNA from 1 species
GAUGAACGCUAGCGGCAGGCUUAAUACAUGCAAGUCGAGGGGCAGCGCAGUGUAGCAAUACAUGGGCGGCGACCGGCAAACGGGUGCGGAACACGUACAGAACCUUCCUUUAAGCGGGGGAUAGCCCAGAGAAAUUUGGAUUAAUACCCCAUAGUAUUGUUGAGUGGCAUCACUUGAUGAUUAAAGAUUUAUCACUUAAAGAUGGCUGUGCGGCUGAUUAGGUAGUUGGCGGGGUAAUGGCCCACCAAGCCUUCGAUCAGUAACUGGUGUGAGAGCAAGACCAGUAACACGGGAACGGUGAAACGGGCCCGACGCCUACGGGAGGCAGCAGUAAGGAAUAUUGGGCAAUGGACGCAAGUCUGACCCAGCCAUGCCGCGUGGAGGAUGAAGGUCCUCUGGAUUGUAAACUUCUUUUACUUGGGAAGAAACCCGUAUUUUCUAAUUCGGUUGACGGUACCAGAUGAAUAAGCACCGGCUAACUCCGUGCCAGCCGCCGCCGUAACAC